rnacentral:lncRNA from 1 species
GGCGUUCUUAAUUAAUGCUUUUUGUGCCUUCUUUGUUAAUUUGAAUCUCUUUGCUUUCUUUGUUGUCUGAUUAUUUUUUCUUUCACCUUGGAUUUGUUCACUGCUAUCUAUUUGUUGGUACUUACGAUCAUAACCUGGUGUUUGUUUUGUCCCAUAUGUUUAUUCUCCAUGUAUCUUGUUUGCCUUUGUUAGGGGCUGU